rnacentral:rRNA from 1 species
GGAAUUCCUGGUGUAGCGGUGGAAUGCGCAGAUAUCAGGAGGAACACCGAUGGCGAAGGCAGGUCACUGGGCCGCAACUGACGCUGAGGAGCGAAAGCAUGGGGAGCGAACAGGAUUAGAUACCCUGGUAGUCCAUGCCGUAAACGUUGGGCACUAGGUGUGGGGCUCAUUCCACGAGUUCCGUGCCGCAGCAAACGCAUUAAGUGCCCCGCCUGGGGAGUACGGCCGCAAGGCUAAAACUCAAAGAAAUUGACGGGGGCCCGCACAAGCGGCGGAGCAUGCGGAUUAAUUCGAUGCAACGCGAAGAACCUUACCAAGGCUUGACAUACACCGGAAACUUCCAGAGAUGGUUGCCCCGCAAGGUCGGUGUACAGGUGGUGCAUGGUUGUCGUCAGCUCGUGUCGUGAGAUGUUGGGUUAAGUCCCGCAACGAGCGCAACCCUCGUCCCAUGUUGCCAGCGGGUUAUGCCGGGGACUCAUGGGAGACUGCCGGGGUCAACUCGGAGGAAGGUGGGGAUGACGUCAAAUCAUCAUGCCCCUUAUGUCUUGGGCUUCACGCAUGCUACAAUGGCCGGUACAAAGGGCUGCGAUACCGCGAGGUGGAGCGAAUCCCAAAAAGCCGGUCUCAGUUCGGAUUGGGGUCUGCAACUCGACCCCAUGAAGUCGGAGUCGCUAGUAAUCGCAGAUCAGCAACGCUGCGGUGAAUACGUUCCCGGGCCUUGUACACACCGCCCGUCAAGUCACGAAAGUCGGUAACACCCGAAGCCAGUGGCCCAACUCGUAAGAGGGGAGCUGUCGAC